rnacentral:rRNA from 1 species
CUGUCGUCAGCUCGUGUCGUGAGAUGUUGGGUUAAGUCCCGUAACGAGCGCAACCCUUGUCCUUAGUUACCAGCACGUAAUGGUGGGCACUCUAAGGAGACUGCCAGUGACGAACCGGAGGAAGGUGGGGAUGACGUCAAGUCAUCAUGGCCCUUACGGCCUGGGCUACACACGUGCUACAAUGGUCGGUACAGAGGGUUGCCAAGCCGCGAGGUGGAGCUAAUCCCACAAAACCGAUCGUAGUCCGGAUCGCAGUCUGCAACUCGACUGCGUGAAGUCGGAAUCGCUAGUAAUCGCAGAAUAAGAAUGUCGCGGGUGAAUACGUUCCCGGGUCUUGUACACACGCAUCC